rnacentral:lncRNA from 1 species
UUAAGAGUACAGAUCAGGCCUCAGCUUCACCUUGGUCUUCCGAGGCUUGUCUCUUUCCGCAGAAUCUUCCAGAUGCAUUCUGUAAUGACACUGUAUCAAGCCACCGAGAUCACCCGCCAAAGCCCAAUCUGCUACCGGAAUCUUCCUAGAAGAAAAGGAUGUUUCAUCAGAAGCAGUCAUUCAUCCUAGCCCACACCUCGCCUGCUUCUGAUCUUCCGCUGUUAAAAACAUAACACACUGGAGGAAGAUUGUGCUAUAUUUCAUGAGUGCUCUGUGCCGCCACCAAGGGACAGUUCCAUCUGUUAUUUGCUCUCAGCUUUGCUUACUGAUAAAACAGGAAGGACAGCUUGCUGAUGGGCUCUUUGAAGCAAACGGCUCCUCUCUUUCCUGCAAUUAAUGUUUAUAAAUUAUUUCUACAGCGGAUGGUAUGUGUGGCACCAUGAUUUCAAAAUUAGUUUCAAUAAAUUAAGGGCCUGCAUUCAUUACAAGAGUGGCUUGAUUACAAUGCAACUCGUGGAGUUUAGAAUGCGCCCCGCCUUUUGCGAAAAUUGCUCGAUGACAUCCAACACUGCCGUUAAUUCUGUUCAUUA